rnacentral:rRNA from 1 species
AGUAAAUUGGUUAAGUUAGAAAGGGCGCACGGUGGAUGCCUUGGCACUAGGAGCCGAAGAAGGACGGGACUAACACCGAUAUGCUUUGGGGAGCUGUACGUAAGCGUUGAUCCAGAGAUUUCCGAAUGGGGGAACCCACUAUCUUUAGUCGGAUAGUAUCCUUACGUGAAUACAUAGCGUGAGGAAGGCAGACCCAGGG